rnacentral:rRNA from 1 species
AACGAACGCUGGCGGCAGGCCUAACACAUGCAAGUCGAGCGGCCCACCACCUGAUGUGGUGGGCAGAUAUCAGAGAUCGGAUGUCGGAUGUCGGAAGUCGGAUCGGAAGGCUUUGUGCUUUGCGGUUUUGACUUUUUGACAUCUGAUUUCCGACAUCCGACAUCUGCCCACCGCCUUUGGCGGUGGGCAGCGGCAGACGGGUGAGUAACGCGUGGGAACGNGCC